UGAACCAUAACACAAGGUAGAGUCCCUGCCAGCAAGCAGUAGAUGGCAGGUUCAAGUCCUGCUGGUUCCA
rnacentral:tRNA from 1 species